UGAGGAAUAUUGGUCAAUGGACGCAAGUCUGAACCAGCCAAGUAGCGUGCAGGAUGACGGCCCUAUGGGUUGUAAACUGCUUUUAUAUGGGGAUAAAGUGGGGAACGUGUUCCCUUUUGCAGGUACCAUAUGAAUAAGGACCGGCUAAUUCCGUGCCAGCAGCCGCGGUAAUACGGAAGGUUCGGGCGUUAUCCGGAUUUAUUGGGCUUAAAGGGCAUCUAGGCGGUAAGACAAGUUGAAGGUGAAAACCUGUGGCUCAACCAUAGGCUUGCCUACAAAACUGUUGAACUAGAGUACUGGAAAGGUGGGUGGAACUACACGAGUAGAGGUGAAAUUCGUAGAUAUGUGUAGGAAUGCCGAUGAUGAAGAUAACUCACUGGACAGAAACUGACGCUGAAGUGCGAAAGCUAGGGGAGCAAACAGG
rnacentral:rRNA from 1 species